ACAACACCAGCGCAGAAAAAAAUUCAUAUUACAAGAACACAUUGGUAUUGAAGGAACUAGAUACUGUUCCGAAAUAUCACUUACUCGAACCGUCCUGACCGCGUAGCUCCGUUGGAAGAGCAUUGGGCUGGUAUUCCAAAGGUCGUAGGUUCGAAUCCCGCCGUGGCCGGGCAUAUUUUUCAAGCUCGCCCGGUGUGGAUAUGCACUCAGAGUAACAUCACAAACAUAUUAUUCACCUGAGUACACAACACCAGCACAGAAAAAAAUCAUAUUACAAGAACACAUUGGUAUUGAAGGAACUAGAUACUGUUCCGAAAUAUCACUUACUCGAACCGUCCUGACCGCGUAGCUCGGUUGGAAGAGCAUUGGGCUGGUAUUCCAAAGGUCGUAGGUUCGAAUCCCACCGUGGCCGGGCAUAUUUUUCAAGCUCGCCCGGUGUGGAUAUGCACUCAGAGUAACAUCACAAACAU